UUCAGAGGACCGAAUCCGGAAUAGUUGCUCUUGCCGCCAGGACCCGGGUGGGGUGGGUGAUGCCCAGCGAGGGAGGCGCUAGUUCAAUGUGUAGCCUCUUCUCGGGGUCAGCCGCGCGUCUGUAAUCGCUUCUGCAGGUCCCUUCCUUUUCUAGAAGUUUAUUACUGCUCUUCUGGGGCUGUGAGCGCCUACACUUCGAGGAAAGUUAAACCCGGAAAUGUGGGAGAAAGGAUAGGUUCUUAUAAGACACAUACAAGGAAAAAAUACCAGGGAACGUGCCCUGACUAAAUAGUCAGGUAUUGCAUGUUUUAAAAAUUCUUGCAGCACACCGGUUGAAAAUCGGUGGGCUGUUGUGCUGGAGGUGGUGAAAAGGGAAAGGAGGCAAUUAUGAUGGAUUAGCUAUGGGGUGGCUGGGUGGUGGUGGUGGGGGGAAGUGGAGGUGGGCUUAGGAGAGGGAUUCAUGCCUUGCAUAACUGAUGGAUGGCAGUUCAAUCCCAAAGAGAUUUCUAGGUAGACAAUGUGCUGGAUGCACUGCCAAUUUUAUCUCUUUUCAUUCUUCUUUUGUAGCUACCACGGAGAUCCUACCCUUGGUUAAUGUUUUCCUACUUUUGGGACAUCAUUUACAUUGCUUAGGUACAAUCAGAUUCCAAUUCUUUCCUUGCUUACUCUCUAGUCACUGUGAUUGGAUUUGGAUAUUUAGUCUUCAAAGUCUUCAAAUAUUUAAGGACAAUCACUCGGGAUAUGCCUUAUCUUCCAAAGGGUGAUCUUGCUAUUGAUUGCUUUCUACUUUCAUUCUUAGAGGAAAAGCUAAUAAAGUGAGCCCCACCAACCUUACAUGCCAAAAUAAAUUUUAAUGAAUUGUUCUUAAUAAAAAUUAGGUUGAAUGUGAAAGCAGUUAACAUUUAUACAGUAGCUAAAUGAGCCACGACAUAAACAAAGUUAAUUCACAAAUGGGGAAAUAAAAGAAUAAACAUGAAAAAAAGUUCCAGGUGUUGAAAGGCUGGGUCCGGGGACCGCUUUCAGGAACGUGCAGGGAGGGGCGCACGGAGAUGGCACCGCCCCCUCCGGAAGUCCCCGCCCACCCCAGGAAGGCACACCCCCGGAAGUUCCCCGCCCACCCCCGGAAGGCGCCGGCACUGGACUUCCAGAGGCGGCCCGAUAGGCGCUCUCGUC